rnacentral:lncRNA from 1 species
UUGGGUCCUUCACUCAGUCUCAACUUAGCUUGUCCCUCUCUCUCUCUCUCUCUCUCUCUCUCUCUCUUCUCUUCCCCCGCUCUCUCUCUCUCUCUCUCUCUCUCUCUCUCUCCCUCUCAUAUUUCUAGGUGUCUUGAAAUCACCAUUAUCGCUCCGGGAAUCGCCUAUGGUGGUGGCAAGCCUAGAACACACCCAAACAUACAUCAACAUGGAGCUCUCCCCACCCUCUA